rnacentral:rRNA from 1 species
AAGUCGUAACAAGGUCUCCGUAGGUGAACCUGCGGAGGGAUCAUUAAAAGAGAUGGCGGGCCUCGCUGCCCCCGUCCCCCACCCUUUGUUGACCGAAAAACCUUUUUGCCUCGGGGGCCGUGCGGCCACGGCCGCCGCCCCCAGAGGACCAACCAACGCUGUCUCUGUGAGUCGGAGUACAUGAUUGAAUAAUCAAAACUUUCAACAACGGAUCUCUUGGUUCUGGCAUCGAUGAAGAACGCAGCGAAAUGCGAUAAGUAAUGUGAAUUGCAGAAUUCAGUGAAUCAUCGAAUCUUUGAACGCACAUUGCGCCCUUUGGCAUUCCGAGGGGCAUGCCCGUUCGAGCGUCAUUAAAUCCAAUCCAGCCCGGCUGGGUGUUGGGCGAUCCGGGGGCCGUGUGGUCCCCGCGCCUCAAAGUCCGUGGCUGUUCGCACCCGAAUCUCAGCGUCGUGGAAUCGUUUCGCUGGUGAGAGGGGGGCCGUUCGGCCGUCGUCGAGACGAACGUUUUUUCUUCAGGUUGACCUCGGAUCGGGUAGGAAUACCCGCUGAACUUAA